AUUAAAUUUUAAUUAUUCCUAAUAAAUAUAAGUUCUCAAAUACAAUUUAACAAUAAUUAUAGGUACAAUAUUACAUACUAUUGUAUAUAUAUAUACAAUAGGUACAACUUGGUUGAAUAGUAUUGAAAUUUAAGCAACCAUCUUAAUUUAAUUUAUAAUAAAACUAUUGAUCAACUACUGCUGAUUAACGGAACCAGCAUUGGGGAACACAUGCAAUAAAAACCUAGAAAAUUUAUAAGCACACUAAAUAAAUAGCUUUUACAGUAACCCAUUUCUAUAUAUUACAAUUUGACACCAAUUACCCUCUUUUGUAUUUUGUAAUUUACAAUCAUCAACUUUAAUUAACUUUGUAAUCCAAAUGGAGUGGAAUUACUUGUUCAAAAAAUUAAUUUCCGAGUGUCCCAAACGGGAACUGGACCUGAGGCUUCAGAUUCAAAAGCCCAUUGAAACCAAUCCUAUGCUGGACCAACCAACAAUUUUCGGGUUUCUCUGUGUUAAG